AGAUAACCCUUCAAUGUGCCUCAGCCCUAACUCAUUCAAAGACCCCUAAGCUCUUUCAGAGAACUCCUCCUUCAAACAUUAACUCGUUCAAAGAACCCUAACACUCUCCAUUGUGCCUCACCCUAACCCCCUCUUCGUUGUGCCUCACCCUCACCCUCCGCUCACUUGCCGUCGCAAAUCCUCUGUCGAUGCUCCCUUCGCUGCCGCUCCCUUACGUCGCUGCUAACCCCUAACCCCUCCGCUGUAGCUCUCUCUGGCGCCGAUCCCUUCCUCAUGCAGGGGCCUUUCCAUCGAUGCUUCAUUGCUGGUUUUAAGAGCAGGUAAACCCUAAAUCAUUAUCAGUGGUGAUUAUUGAGUGAGGAUUUGCGAGUUGGCGACGAGUUACCGAGUUAGGUUUUGAAAAUUCGCUCAUCCAUGGCUCGAACCUUGUCUCGUUCGUGUUCACCUUCCCACAGAAGAAGAUACUCUCGUUCCCCUGUUUCUCACCGUCAUGCUCACUCUCACUCUCAAAGGGAUCGAACAUCCUCAAGGAGAAGAAGCCGAUUCCCUUGCCACAGGCGCCGCAGAAGCAGAACGCGGUCACCGUCUUCGCUGAGGCACCGCACAAGGCACAGAAGCAGAAGCACUUCCUCGCCCUCUCCUCCUCCUCCUAAAUCGCACAGUCCCAGUGUCGUUGCGAACCAUCACAAGCUCAAAAAAGACGAAGAAGAAAAGAGAAGGUUAAUUUCAUUCUUCGCUACUGGCUUUUCUGAAGGAAGCUACUGCCUUGUCCAACUUGUUAUUAGGAUGAAACAAUUGCUGCGUCGUUUAUCUACUGUUCCACUUGAAACUUCAUUUAUUAUUAAGGCUAUGGAAUGAAAUAUGUCUUAGAAUUCAUGUUAUUAUUAUUAUGAUGGUAUCAAACUAUAGUGAAUUAAAGUAGAUUGAGGGAGGAAUAAUGAAAUAUAUUUGCUUAUUUAACCUUGUUUGAUUCCUAAGCAUUGAAAUUUCUGGCCUCAGAAUUAUUAAAACAUAUUAGAGUCUAUAAAUAAAACCUUUUCUCUUGCUUAGAGGUUUGUACCCUGAGAUUUUGUCAUGGUAAUUUAAUACUUCACCUACUAGUAUGCAGAAUUAGUCUUAAAAAUUCAAUGUCACUUUUGUUUGGUUAUGUUAUUUCAUAAAUUGCUAGCCAUCUAGCUACCUCCCUUUGGAAUAAUUUUUGCAGUGUGAAUAUUUGGCUAUUUGGUUUCUUCUCAAAUUGUAGAAUAGAAAGAAUGCUUUUAAUUGUCCGCACAGCAAGGGGGUGUCCUCGUGUCGUUGUUGCUUUUAAUUGUUUGCUUUGGGGACCAACUCUUCUUCCCCUUGGUGUCACACUACUUGUGCCCAUUAUUUUAUAUCCACCUUUUCAUUUGGCUACAACUCUUAUUUCUUCAAAAACCAUGAUCGAUUGUUGACACAGCAAGGCACCACCCAUCACAUGUAUUUUGGGCAAGGGGACCUUGUUACAUAUUUUGCAAAGUGGACUAACUAAAAUUUGUUGAGAUCUGAUUUGGUGCAACCUUUUUGCUAUUCGUAUACUAAUCCAAAGGUUUUUGUUGCUGAAAGGAGGAGUUACUAUUACAUUGUUUUGCUGUUUUCUUGCUCAAGGGAGAAAAAGUGUGGAGAUCUCUUCUUGGCUCAUCAAUUAUUUGAUGAGUUGUAGGAUUAGAUCACAUGAUAAGACAUGUUGGUAAAUGGUAAUUGAUGCAUGUGCUGCUAGUUUGGUAAACGGUAUGGCAACGGUAAUUUGAAUGAGGUUCAAGCAUUCCUCUGCCUUAUUAUGAUCAAAACUUCUAAUCUUGCAAGAACCAUGCACAGAGACAUUCAGUGUGGUGGUCACUACUACUCAACUCAAGAGCACACCUGAGACUUUGAUUUCUUCACACAAAACAGGGCAGUGGUGAAAACAAUUUCACUCAAAAUGGAUGAUUAGUAAUAAUGAAGACUUGUAUUUUGUAACGAAGUGUAAAGGAAGUAGAUAAUGUAACCCAUGUUGGAAUUGUAAUUCAUGUAUUAGGAAUUCAUGGAUAGUUAUGACUUUAAUUUUUGGUAUUUUGUUAAAGCAUGUCAUGUGAUCAAACACACUUUUUUGUGACAAGUUUAUGAAGCAAAGAUUAGUUGAUUUAAAA